CCUACGGGUGACAGCAGUGAGGAAUAUUGCUCAAUGGGCGCGAGCCUGAACCAGCCACGUAGCGUGAAGGAUGACUGCCCUACGGGUUUUAAACCUCUUUUAUAAAGGAAUAAAGUGAGGCACGUGUGCCUUUAUGUUUGUACUUUAUGAAUACGGAUCGGCGAACUCCGUGCCAGCAGCCACGGUAAUACGGAGGAUCCGAGCGUUAUCCGGAUUUAUUGGGUUUAAAGGGAGCGGAGAGGGGAUGUUAAGUCAGUUGUGAAAGUUUGCGGCUCAACCGGAGAAUUGCAAUUGAAACUGGCAGUCUUGAGUACAGUAGAGGUAGGCGGAAUUCGUGGUGUAGCGGUGAAAUGCUUAGAUAUCACGAAGAACUCCGAUUGCGAAGGCAGCUUACUAGACUGCCACUGACAUUGAUGCUCGAAAGUGUGGGUAGCAAACAGGAUUAGAUACCCUUGUAGUC
rnacentral:rRNA from 1 species